rnacentral:rRNA from 1 species
AAAAUAGGAUUCCCUCAGUAAUGGCGAAUGAACAGGGAUCAGCUCAGCAUGGAAAUUGGGGCCUCUGGCCUUGAAUUGUAGUCUUGAGAUGGCUUCGCCAGCGGAGGCGCAGAUGUAAGCCUCUUGGAAAAGAGCAUCAAUGAGGGUGAGAGUCCCGUUUGUCAUCUGCAGUCCCCCGUGCACGGCUUGCUUUCUAAGAGUCACGUUCCUUGGGAUUGGAGCGCAAAUUGGGUGGUAAAUUUCAUCUAAAGCUAAAUAUUGGUUCGAGACCGAUAGCAAACAAGUACCAUGAGGGAAAGGUGAAAAGGACUUUGAAAAGAGAGUUAAAAGUGCCUGAAAUUGCUGAAAGGGAAGCGAAUGGAACCAGUUUUUCUUGGCGAGAUUGUUGCGUGCUAAUGUGAUGGCUUGUUGCUUCAACGCAAGUGUUGCAGCGGGUUUUGAUCUGGACGUGCGCGGUGCUUCUUGCCUUGUGUGUCAACGUCGGUUCAGACUUGAGGAAAACUCCAGGGACAUGGUAAGUCACUUCUGGGUGACUGAAAGUGCUUGGCAGAACUCAUUUCUGAACUGAACUCCGCAUGUCUGGUCGCAGUGCUCUCAUUUCCCAUGUCUCGUUCGGAGCUUUGCGCUCUGACCUGGGCUGGGGCGUGGGGCAUCUCCCUGACAUCAGUACGAUGACAAAAUGGUUUUAUUCGACCCGUCUUGAAACACGGACCAAGGAGUCUAACAUAUGUGCAAGUUCACGGGUGUUAAACCUGCUUGCGCAAUGAAAGUGACUGCUGGGAUAUUUGCACCAGCAACCGACCAAUCAAUUGUGAGAGGUUUGAGUAUGAGCAUAUCUGUUAGGACCCGAAAGAUGGUGAACUAUGCCUGAGAAGGGCGAAGUCAGGGG